UACGAAGGGGGCUAGCGUUGUUCGGAAUUACUGGGCGUAAAGCGCACGUAGGCGGAUUGUUAAGUGAGGGGUGAAAUCCCAGGGCUCAACCCUGGAACUGCCUCUCAUACUGGCAAUCUUGAGUAUGGAAGAGGUGAGUGGAAUUCCGAGUGUAGAGGUGAAAUUCGUAGAUAUUCGGAGGAACACCAGUGGCGAAGGCGGCUCACUGGUCCAUUACUGACGCUGAGGUGCGAAAGCGUGGGGAGCAAACAGG
rnacentral:rRNA from 1 species